rnacentral:rRNA from 1 species
CAACGCCGGGCAGCUCACCAGAUAAGACAGCUGAAUGAUAGUCGGGCUGAAGACUCUACUUGACUAGCUGAGAGGAGGUGCAUGGCCGUCGUCAGUUCGUACUGUGAAGCAUCCUGUUAAGUCAGGCAACGAGCGAGACCCACGCCCACAGUUGCCAGCGUACUCUCUGGAGUGACGGGUACACUGUGGGGACCGCCGCUGCUAAAGCGGAGGAAGGAAUGGGCAACGGUAGGUCAGUAUGCCCCGAAUAUCCCGGGCUACACGCGAGCUACAAUGGUUGGUACAAUGGGUAUCUACCCCGAAAGGGGACGGGAAUCUCCUAAAACCAAUCUUAGUUCGGAUUGAGGGCUGCAACUCGCCCUCAUGAAGCUGGAAUCCGUAGUAAUCGCGUUUCAACAGAACGCGGUGAAUACGUCCCUGCUCCUU